CCUACGGGAGGCUGCAGUGAGGAAUAUUGGUCAAUGGUCGCGAGCCUGAACCAGCCAAGUCGCGUGAAGGAUGACUGCCCUGAGGGUUGUAAACUUCUUUUGUCAGGGAAUAAAGUGAGGCACGUGUGCCUUUUUGUAUGUACUUUAUGAAUAAGGAUCGGCUAACUCCGUGCCAGCAGCCGCGGUAAUACGGAGGAUCCGAGCGUUAUCCGGAUUUAUUGGGUUUAAAGGGAGCGUAGAUGGGUUGUUAAGUCAGUUGUGAAAGUUUGCGGCUCAACCGGAAAAUUGCAAUUGAUACUGGCAGUCUUGAGUACAGGUGAGGUAGGCGGAAUUCGUGGUGUAGCGGUGAAAUGCUUAGAUAUCACGAAGAACUCCGAUUGCGAAGGCAGCUUACCAACCCGACACUGACACUGAUGCUCGAAAGCGUGGGUAUCAAACAGGAUUAGAUACCCUGGUAGUC
rnacentral:rRNA from 1 species